rnacentral:rRNA from 1 species
AACUUUCAACAACGGAUCUCUUGGCUCUGGCAUCGAUGAAGAACGCAGCGAAAUGCGAUAAGUAAUGUGAAUUGCAGAAUUCAGUGAAUCAUCGAAUCUUUGAACGCACAUUGCGCCCGCCAGUAUUCUGGCGGGCAUGCC